GGCACAAGCAGGUGACACAGACCCAAGCCCCUUGGAGCACUCCCCUUGCUCUGGUGACUGGUCCAAAUGUUGGCCCUCCUCCUGAGCUGGUCAAAACCAAGUAGACCCCAAUUUCUGCUAGGAAAAUUAUCAGAGGCUUUCCUUUCCUUGACGGUGUGAGGUGAGGGUGGCAGCACCUGCCCCCACCAGGAGAGCAUCUGAUGCUCUUACGAGAAGUUUGGAGCCUGAGGAUAGAUUUGACCCCAUGGAAAACAGAGAGCUAUAGAGAGAACCUCAGUCCUUGGAGAUAUGGUGUGUUUAAAGUAGCAAAAGCAAUACAAAUCUAUCCUGGUCAAAUGCUGUAGCAGACAUGUUUGGGUUGCCUGCCCACCUGCUGUUUUCUUGUUUGGAAGAGCACCAGCCAUUGACCCUGAGGAAAGGGAUGCAAAGUUGGAAUGCGAGCAGUGCCCGCCAUGCCUGACGAAGUUGUUACUACACACAUCUGUAUUCUUCAAUCAACAAAACCUGAUGCUAAAAACAGAAAAGGGGGAGAUGUAGGAGAUAGGGUGGUGGGAAAAAUUGUAGAAAGAUGCAAACCUCCUCGGAAGGCAGGGAGCUUUUACAAAAGUUUCGGAAAUGGAUUCGGCUGAAGGUAGCCAAACCCUCUUAUCCAGAGCCUGAGAGCAAAGAUUAGAUAACAAAGAGAUAUAAAUGAAUUAAUCUAGAUAAGUUAGUUUACUUAGGCCUUGGAACCUGGCCUUUAAUCAUCCACACACAUGACUGCUAUCUCUGGGCAGAGCAACCAUGUUAAUUAUGCAAAAGUGUGUUGACUCAAAGCCUUUGUUAUUAAAUCUGUACUAAAUAAAUGCCUACAGCACCAACUUGUCAGGGCCACAGCUGCUGACUCUUUAUAGCACCCUCCUCGGGGUCUGUAAGUGGCCAGGUCCCCUAGCCCUCUUUUUCACUGGACACCCAUGUCUGAGUGCAUUCUUACAUCAGUCAUUUGGCCAGGGUCUGCAGGUUGGACCUGGCAACAGACAACCUACAGAAUGGGAGAAUUAUCUUUAAGAUUAAAAUAGGAUAUUAUAAUGCUAUUUUGUAUGGUUUUAUGGGAGAAUGGCUAUGAAUAAAGACUCAAACAAAAGAAAUACAAAUUAAAAAGUUAAAAACAUUAAACAGAUUCUAAACUCUUGAAGUAUAAGGUCAGAAGAACUUCUAGACUAUGGGUUCUUGACCAGUUAAAUAGAAUUUAAUGCCUCUUUUGGGAGUCCAAUCAUCCACUCUGUAAAGAAUUUCCAGUAUUGCUGAAACCCUAACAACCAGGGAGAUCAACAUUUACACUAUCUCCAAACUCAGAAAAAUAGAAAGUAGCAACUUUUCACAAAAUGAUGAGAAUAUAUCUUUGAAAUUGUGGGCUCUCAAAUUGUACUGUCAGAAACCAAAGAUUUUAUGAAUUAAUAAAGUCUGUAAAU